rnacentral:rRNA from 1 species
UACGUAGGGGGCGAGCGUUGUCCGGAGUUACUGGGCGUAAAGGGCAUGCAGGCGGUUGGACGCGUUUCGGGUGACAGCGGGUGGCUUAACUACCCGAGUGGUCGAAAGACGGUUUGACUUGAGGACGCGAGAGGGACACGGAAUUCCGGGUGGAGUGGUGAAAUGCGUAGAGAUCCGGAGGAACACCGAAGGCGAAGGCAGUGUCCUGGCGCGUAACUGACGCUGAGGUGCGAAAGCCAGGGGAGCGAACGGG